GAUGAACGCUGGCGGCGUGCCUAAUACAUGCAAGUCUAGCGAACGUACUAGAAGCUUGCUUUUCUGAUGUUAGCGGCGGACGGGUGAUUAACACGUGGAUAACCUACCUAUAAGACUGGGAUAACUUCGGGAAACCGGAGCUAUUACCUGAUAAUAUUUUGAACCGCAUGGUUCAAAAGUGAAAGACGGUCUUGCUGUCACUUAUCGAUGGAUCCGCGCUGCAUUAGCUAGUUGGUAAGGUAACGGCUUACCAAGGCAACGAUGCAUAGCCGACCUGAGAGGGGGAUCGGCCACACGGGAACUGAGACACGGUCCAGACUCCUACGGGAGGCAGCAGCAGGGAAUCUGGAGCAAUGGGCGAAGACCUGAAGGAGCAACGCCGCGUGAGUGAUGAAGGUCCUCGGAUCGUAAAACACUGUUAUUAGGGAAGAACAUAGGUGUAAGUAACUGUGCACAUCUUGACGGUACCUAAUCAGAAAGCCACGGAUAACUACGUG
rnacentral:rRNA from 1 species